GCACGGCAGCGUAUUUGGGCAGAAGUGGCUCUCCGGCACAUUUAUUUCAGAGACCUGGGAGAAAAAGUGCAGGACCUGGCUGACACUACCUCCAUCUUUUCUGUCAAGGAGAUUCGACUUCAGAUGGACCCAGGAAAACACUUUCCAGCUCAAAGAGAGUUGGCGGUGGUCCAUCGAAUGGGAUCUGCGCCACCUGAGCAUUUUCUCCCUGAAGGAGUAAAUCGUCUUCUGCAUCCUGCACCCCUCUCUUCAUAAAUACGCUCGUAU